UCCCCUACGGGACGCAGCAGUGGGGGAUAUUGCACAAUGGGGGAAACCCUGAUGCAGCGACGCCGCGUGAGUGAAGAAGUAUUUCGGUAUGUAAAGCUCUAUCAGCAGGGAAGAAAAAAGACGGUACCUGACUAAGAAGCCCCGGCUAACUACGUGCCAGCAGCCGCGGUAAUACGUAGGGAGCGAGCGUUGUCCGGAUUUACUGGGUGUAAAGGGUGCGUAGGCGGCCCUGCAAGUCAGAAGUGAAAUCCAUGGGCUUAACCCGUGAACUGCUUUUGAAACUGCAGGACUUGAGUGGAGUAGAG
rnacentral:rRNA from 1 species